rnacentral:rRNA from 1 species
AGAGUUUGAUCCUGGCUCAGAACGAACGCUGGCGGCGUGCUUAACACAUGCAAGUCGAGCGAGAAAGGGGGGGCAACCCCCUGAGUAGAGCGGCGCACGGGUGAGUAACGCGUGGGUAACCUACCCCCAGGCGGGGGAUAACUACUCGAAAGGGUGGCUAAUACCGCAUGAGACCACGGGAUCUUCGGAUCUUGAGGCUAAAGAUCGCACCGGCUUGCCGGUGCUGUCACCAGGGGAUGGGCCCGCGUCCGAUUAGCUAGUUGGCGAGGUAAUGGCUCACCAAGGCUACGAUCGGUAGCUGGUCUGAGAGGAUGAUCAGCCACACUGGAACUGAAACACGGUCCAGACUCCUACGGGAGGCAGCAGUGAGGAAUAUUGCGCAAUGGGGGAAACCCUGACGCAGCAACGCCGCGUGGGUGAAGAAGGCCUUCGGGUCGUAAAGCCCUUUCGGACGGGACGAACGCUUCGCGGUGAAAGCCGCGAAGUCUGACGGUACCGUAGGAAGAAGCACCGGCUAACUCCGUGCCAGCAGCCGCGGUAAUACGGAGGGUGCGAGCGUUGUUCGGAAUUACUGGGCGUAAAGCGCGUGUAGGCGGCCUUGCAAGUCAGGCGUGAAAGCCCUCGGCUUAACCGGGGAAGUGCGUCUGAAACUGCUUGGCUUGAGUACGGGAGAGGGAGGCGGAAUUCCCAGUGUAGAGGUGAAAUUCGUAGAUAUUGGGAGGAACACCGGUGGCGAAAGCGGCCUCCUGGACCGAUACUGACGCUGAGACGCGAAAGCGUGGGGAGCAAACAGGAUUAGAUACCCUGGUAGUCCACGCGGUAAACGAUGGGCACUAGGUGUGGGGGGUAUCCACUCCUCCCGUGCCGAAGCUAACGCAUUAAGUGCCCCGCCUGGGAGUACGGCCGCAAGUUAAAACUCAAGAAUUGACGGGGCCCGCACAAGCGGUGGAGCAUGUGGUUUAAUUU